CCAAGAAAUAGCCAGCUGCUAAGGCCUG
rnacentral:piRNA from 1 species